GCUUACGGCCAUACCACCCUGAACACGCCCGGUCUCGUCUGAUCUCGGAAGCCAAACAGGGUCGGGCCUGGUCAGUAUUUGGAUGGGAAUACUGGGAGCUGUAGGCU
ensembl:rRNA 5S_rRNA 5S ribosomal RNA